CCUACGGGAGACUGCAGUCGAGAAUCAUUCACAAUGGGGGAAACCCUGAUGGUGCGACGCCGCGUGGGGGAAUGAAGGUCUUCGGAUUGUAAACCCCUGUCAUGUGGGAGCAAAUUAAAAAGAUAGUACCACAAGAGGAAGAGACGGCUAACUCUGUGCCAGCAGCCGCGGUAAUACAGAGGUCUCAAGCGUUGUUCGGAAUCACUGGGCGUAAGGCGUGCGUAGGCUGUUUCGUAAGUCGUGUGUGAAAGGCGCGGGCUCAACCCGCGGACGGCACAUGAUACUGGGAGACUAGAGUAAUGGAGGGGGAACCGGAAUUCUCGGUGUAGCAGUGAAAUGCGUAGAUAUCGAGAGGAACACUCGUGGCGAAGGCGGGUUCCUGGACAUUAACUGACGCUGAGGCACGAAGGCCAGGGGAGCGAAAGGGAUUAGAUACCCUAGUAGUC
rnacentral:rRNA from 1 species